rnacentral:rRNA from 1 species
GAUGAACGCUGGCGGCGUGCCUAAUACAUGCAAGUCGAGCGAACAGACGAGGAGCUUGCUCCUCUGACGUUAGCGGCGGACGGGUGAGUAACACGUGGAUAACCUACCUAUAAGACUGGGAUAACUUCGGGAAACCGGAGCUAAUACCGGAUAAUAUAUUGAACCGCAUGGUUCAAUAGUGAAAGACGGUUUUGCUGUCACUUAUAGAUGGAUCCGCGCCGCAUUAGCUAGUUGGUAAGGUAACGGCUUACCAAGGCAACGAUGCGUAGCCGACCUGAGAGGGUGAUCGGCCACACUGGAGCUGAGACACGGUCCAGACUCCUACGGGAGGCAGCAGUAGGGAAUCGUCCGCAAUGGGCGAAAGCCUGACGGAGCAACGCCGCGUGAGUGAUGAAGGUCUUCGGAUCGUAAAACUCUGUUAUUAGGGAAGAACAAAUGUGUAAGUAACUAUGCACGUCUUGACGGUACCGAAUCAGAAAGCCACGGCUAACUACGUG